rnacentral:lncRNA from 1 species
ACUAAUGGUACAAUUUAUUCAACCAAUUGCAGCCACCAACCCUCUCCUCCUACAUGUCACUCCACGUAUCCCACCAAGAAACCAUCUUAUCUGAAAGUAUGUUUGUACCUUCAUUGUUCAUAGCCCUUCUCCUGAAUCAACUGAUUUGUCAUUGCAAUGUUCAAGUGCUCCUCUAGUUGAUAAGCCGUAUCCCGAAUCUCAAUAUAUUUCUGAUUCCAAAUAUUCUUUAUCCCAUUGUAGUUCUUUUCACUAAUAUUACUAUGAUGUCAAACCUAGUAUUUAUAUUGAUGGCAUCA